GCGACCAAAUUACUUUAUUGUCUUGUUUUUCUCUCAUUGUAGAUGCCCAUUUGGUUUCAGGAGUUAAAGUAUUCUAUCCCAGUGAUGUCCCUGUAUCCCUGUUAACUGGUCUUCGGCAGCUGGUCGGACAUGUCAUCCACCCCGGUCAUUUGAGAACUGACAUCCAAAACUUCAGGCGAGGGUCAGGAGGAUAGAAACACACCGAUGCCAUCUACCUCCCGCUUGGUGAAAUAAAUCCUAUUUGAAACCAUCCCUAAGGAGCCCUUCACAAUAAAAUACAGUUGCUGUUUCCCAUAGCAACAAAAACUAGAUCCGAUGACUACCUUACAAAGAGAGACAGAAUAUGAUGGACGGACUGGAUAUGAUAUGAAUGGAAACGUCCUCCAGCCACAAAAUAAAUAUUUAUUGCUGCAAGCCACACUUUGCUGCUCCAAGCCUCACUCUCUGGAUCUUCAUAUGUCUUUCUUCCCUGCUCUGUGCCCUCACUUUGGAAACCAAUCUCUUCAGAGGUCAAAUCCUCUGGCUCUCUUUCUGUAG
rnacentral:lncRNA from 1 species